rnacentral:rRNA from 1 species
UACGGGGGGGGGUAAGCGUUGUUCGGAAUUACUGGGCGUAAAGGGCUCGUAGGCGGCCAACUAAGUCAGACGUGAAAUCCCUCAGCUUAACUGGGGAACUGCGUCUGAUACUGGAUGGCUUGGAUUCGGGAGAGGAAUGCGGAAUUCCAGGUGUAGCGGUGAAAUGCGUAGAUAUCGUUUGGAACGCCAAUGGUGAAGACAGCUCGCUGGGGGUGUGCUGACGCUGAGACACGAAAGCCAGGGGAGCGAACGGG